rnacentral:rRNA from 1 species
AUUGAACGCUGGCGGCAUGCCUUACACAUGCAAGUCGAACGGUAACAGGUCUUCGGAUGCUGACGAGUGGCGAACGGGUGAGUAAUACAUCGGAACGUGCCUAGUAGUGGGGGAUAACUACUCGAAAGAGUGGCUAAUACCGCAUGAGAUCUACGGAUGAAAGCAGGGGAUCGCAAGACCUUGUGCUACUAGAGCGGCCGAUGGCAGAUUAGGUAGUUGGUGGGAUAAAAGCUUACCAAGCCGACGAUCUGUAGCUGGUCUGAGAGGACGAUACGCCACACUGGGACUGAGACACGGCCCAGACUCCUACGGGAGGCAGCAGUGGGGAAUUUUGGACAAUGGGCGAAAGCCUGAUCCAGCAAUGCCGCGUGCAGGAUGAAGGCCUUCGGGUUGUAAACUGCUUUUGUACGGAACGAAAAGCCCCGGGUUAAUACCCUGGGGUCCAUGACGGUACCGUAAGAAUAAGCACCGGCUAACUACGUGCCAGCAGCCGCCGUAA